rnacentral:rRNA from 1 species
CAGUAGCCGCGGUAAUACGGAGGGGGCUAGCGUUGUUCGGAAUUACUGGGCGUAAAGCGCGCGUAGGUGGUUCGCCAAGUUGGAUGUGAAAUCCCCGGGCUCAACCUGGGAACUGCAUCCAAAACUGGCGAGCUAGAGUAUGGUAGAGGGUGGUGGAAUUUCCUGUGUAGCGGUGAAAUGCGUAGAUAUAGGAAGGAACAUCAGUGGCGAAGGCGACCACCUGGACUGAUACUGACACUGAGGUGCGAAAGCGUGGGGAGCAAACAGGAUUAGAUACCCCCGUAGUCCCUGUCUCUUAUAC